CGGCCGAUCGUGGAGGACCCGAGUGACCGUGAGACCCGUGAACCUAGCCGAACUGUGACCCGAAACACCCAGAAACCCGAUCGGCGACCUGAGCCGAAAUCCGGCGACAUUUCCGGUGGGUUCGACGGAAGGGCGAUUUUCGGUAAAAGCUCAAUCUCGACGCUAAUGGAAGUUCAGAUGAUAACCGUAAGACGAAGUCUUUUUCUUGAAAGGGCGUAGACCUCGCUGAGAGCGAUAGUUCGUGAUGAACCAGCCAAACCCUAAUAUUGUAUAGUAUGAUUUGUUCCUUUUGGAGUUCAUGAUUUUGUAUAGAUUUAUAAAUAGAAAGUUUUAAGAGGGUAGA